rnacentral:lncRNA from 1 species
CUCCUACCUGGACCAGCUGGGGAUAUGAGAAUGAGUUUGGUUAAGGAGCAUUUGGUUAUAGUUGUGAGAGACUGGCAAACUGUUCAGUCAAUAAGACAGCAGCUGUAGUGGAGAUGUGUGCAAAGUACAGUGGGAACUUCGAGAAAGUACAUCUCAGCCAGGCACAGUGACAUAUACUGUAAUUCCAGCAACUUGGUGGGUGGGGAGACUGAGGCAGGAGGAUUGCAAGUUUGAGACCAGCCUCAGCAACUUAGCAAGAACCUCAGAAGAGACCCUAUCUCAAAAUAAAUACCUAAGAAGG